CCUACGGGAGGCUGCAGUGGGGAAUAUUGGACAAUGGGGGGAACCCUGAUCCAGCCAUGCCGCGUGUGUGAAGAAGGCCCUCGGGUUGUAAAGCACUUUCAGUGAGGAAGAACGCCUGGUGGUUAAUACCCAUCAGGAAAGACAUCACUCACAGAAGAAGCACCGGCUGACUCCGUGCCAGCAGCCGCGGUAAUACGGAGGGUGCGAGCGUUAAUCGGAAUUACUGGGCGUAAAGCGCGCGUAGGUGGCUUGAUAAGCCGGUUGUGAAAGCCCCGGGCUCAACCUGGGAACGGCAUCCGGAACUGUCAAGCUAGAGUGCAGGAGAGGAAGGUAGAAUUCCCGGUGUAGCGGUGAAAUGCGUAGAGAUCGGGAGGAAUACCAGUGGCGAAGGCGGCCUUCUGGACUGACACUGACACUGAGGUGCGAAAGCGUGGGUAGCAAACAGGAUUAGAUACCCCAGUAGUC
rnacentral:rRNA from 1 species